AUGGUCCAGGCAUCUGGUGAGCGUCAGGUGGGCCUGUUUCCGUGGAACUUGGAUGUGUGGUCACGAGCGAGCAGGCUUCAGUUGAUGAGACAGAGACGUGCGUGUGCCUCAAAACCUCCCGGCCCCUCUGUCUACCACCCUUUCCAUUUGUGUGAGCCUGGGGCGGGACGGGGAGGGGGGCUGCGUCCCACCGUGGCAGCGCAGGACGGACGCUGGCCCUGGUCCUGCUGCCGCUGCCUGAGGAGGCUCCUGGCAGGGGAGGAGGGCACAGUGGGGCAGCCGCAGACGCUGCAGCCGGUGGGUGUGGUCACGGAGACGGCGGCUCUGCCAGUGUGGACGUCGGGAGGGCUGGGCCCUCAGCUGCUUAACUGUGUGGACAGGCUCUGUGGGGUGGGGGGUCGCAGACGUCUGGGGUGGCGUCUGCGGGGUGGGACCCCGUGGCCCAGUGCAGGGCUCCUGAGCAGGGGCCUGAUUCGCACUUCCCGGGGGAGAGCCCGGCCCCGGUGGCACCGGCAGCCCCGAGGCACACUGGAGGCUCCUUCUCAGGGAGCAGCAGGCUGCGUUCUUGCAGGAUCUUCCCGGGACGGGCCCGCCUCCGGAGAAGCCCAGCCUGGUCGCUGUGCCCGGCCUGGUCUAACCACAGCCCACAGCCGGCAGACACCAGGGCCGAGGUGGGCAUGCAGGUCCAACUCAAGAACCAGCGCCGCCCGUGUCUGCCUGCGGGUGGCGGCCCUCGGACCAGCACCCAGCGCGGCCUUCUUCAGCAGGGGUUGCGGCUCUGUCUCCCUGGCUCGGUGUGGACAGCCCUUCCCGAAGAGGCAGGGCCAUUCUAGAACCAACCGGAACUCUCAGGAAGUGUGCGGCCCGCGCUGGCAGAUGAGCGCGGUGACUGGUAAGAGCUGGAGGAAGAGGCGCUGUGGCCUUGGCUCCCCGGGGCGCACUCAGCCUGCAGGCGUGCAGGACAGCCUCCUGCGCUGGCCUCAGCUUUCACACGGCCCUGGCCUCACCACGCACGCGGCGUGA
rnacentral:lncRNA from 1 species